rnacentral:rRNA from 1 species
GAAGGGCGUGCUAAUCUGCGAUAAGCGCCGGUAAGGUGAUAUGAACCGUUAUAACCGGCGAUACCCGAAUGGGGAAACCCAGUGUGUUUCGACACACUAUCAUUAACUGAAUCCAUAGGUUAAUGAGGCGAACCGGGGGAACUGAAACAUCUAAGUACCCCGAGGAAAAGAAAUCAACCGAGAUUCCCCCAGUAGCGGCGAGCGAACGGGGAGGAGCCCAGAGCCUGAAUCAGCAUGUGUGUUAGUGGAAGCGUCUGGAAAGGCGCGCGAUACAGGGUGACAGCCCCGUACACAAAAGCGCAUGUGCUGUGAGCUCGAUGAGUAGGGCGGGACACGUGGUAUCCUGUCUGAAUAUGGGGGGACCAUCCUCCAAGGCUAAAUACUCCUGACUGACCGAUAGUGAACCAGUACCGUGAGGGAAAGGCGAAAAGAACCCCGGCGAGGGGAGUGAAAAAGAACCUGAAACCGU